rnacentral:sRNA from 1 species
GUCCACGUUGCGGCGGACCAAAGCCAAAAGGCGAUCAUGGCAAUGGUGGCAGCCAGCCACCAUCGCGUCGUCAUGACGGUAAGGCCGGUGGU